rnacentral:rRNA from 1 species
AAACGGGAAGAGCCCAAACCAACAAGCUUGCUUGUUGGGGUUGUAGGACACUCUAUACGGAGUUACAAAGGACGACAUUAGACGAAUCAUCUGGAAAGAUGAAUCAAAGAAGGUAAUAAUCCUGUAGUCGAAAAUGUUGUCUCUCUUGAGUGGAUCCUGAGUACGACGGAGCACGUGAAAUUCCGUCGGAAUCUGGGAGGACCAUCUCCUAAGGCUAAAUACUCUCUAGUGACCGAUAGUGAACCAGUACCGUGAGGGAAAGGUGAAAAGCACCCCGGAAGGGGAGUGAAAUAGAACCUGAAACCGUGUGCUUACAAGUAGUCAGAGCCCGUUAAUGGGUGAUGGCGUGCCUUUUGUAGAAUGAACCGGCGAGUUACGAUUUGAUGCAAGGUUAAGCAGUAAAUGUGGAGCCGUAGCGAAAGCGAGUCUGAAUAGGGCGUUUAGUAUUUGGUCGUAGACCCGAAACCAGGUGAUCUACCCUUGGUCAGGUUGAAGUUCAGGUAACACUGAAUGGAGGACCGAACCGACUUACGUUGAAAAGUGAGCGGAUGAACUGAGGGUAGCGGAGAAAUUCCAAUCGAACCUGGAGAUAGCUGGUUCUCUCCGAAAUAGCUUUAGGGCUAGCCUCAAGUGAUGAUUAUUGGAGGUAGAGCACUGUUUGGACGAGGGGCCCCUCUCGGGUUACCGAAUUCAGACAAACUCCGAAUGCCAAUUAAUUUAACUUGGGAGUCAGAACAUGGGUGAUAAGGUCCGUGUUCGAAAGGGAAACAGCCCAGACCACCAGCUAAGGUCCCAAAAUAUAUGUUAAGUGGAAAAGGAUGUGGCGUUGCCCAGACAACUAGGAUGUUGGCUUAGAAGCAGCCAUCAUUUAAAGAGUGCGUAAUAGCUCACUAGUCGAGUGACACUGCGCCGAAAAUGUACCGGGGCUAAACAUAUUACCGAAGCUGUGGAUUGUCCUUUGGACAAUGGUAGGAGAGCGUUCUAAGGGCGUUGAAGCAUGAUCGUAAGGACAUGUGGAGCGCUUAGAAGUGAGAAUGCCGGUGUGAGUAGCGAAAGACGGGUGAGAAUCCCGUCCACCGAUUGACUAAGGUUUCCAGAGGAAGGCUCGUCCGCUCUGGGUUAGUCGGGUCCUAAGCUGAGGCCGACAGGCGUAGGCGAUGGAUAACAGGUUGAUAUUCCUGUACCACCUAUAAUCGUUUUAAUCGAUGGGGGGACGCAGUAGGAUAGGCGAAGCGUGCGAUUGGAUUGCACGUCUAAGCAGUAAGGCUGAGUAUUAGGCAAAUCCGGUACUCGUUAAGGCUGAGC